AGGUUGGUCCCUACUCAAACGCGUCAUAACAAUUUACCGGAUAUGAUUAUCGAUACGAAAUUUUAAAACCAAAUCCGUCUUUACGAGUUCUACCGGGUUAGUACCGUUAUCGGUUUAGGUAUUAUAUAGCGCUGAGCAUUUCCAGUUGGCACUUUUAAGAUUACGCUCGUGUUUACCGAGAUGCCGAGGUUUAAAGGCAGGUUUGUUAAAGACUCUCUUGUUAGAAAAAUUGAAAAUUAGAUAAAGGAAGAAGCAAUCGAAUAAACAAAACAGAUUUAACAUGUGACGAAACAAGUGGUGUGCCAGUAAGUGACUUAGAUUACAGUAAUCAUUAUCAUAGAGUUAUAUGGCUGUGACGGUGAGAAUAUUCAUGUCGUUAGAAAAGAAGAGACAUAUUCGGUUUAGGAAGAUGAGAAAAUGAAUCAGUGGAGAAUGGGCAGACGUGUAGUUGAUCUUGGGGGUUCUUGCGGAUGAUCUAAGCAGUUGUCAGUUAUGCGGACAGCCACUGCAAUUGUCAAACUGUGUAGGGGAACACAAAUUCGGCCUUGCACAUGUAGCCCUACUACUUGUCAAGUGCAAAUUUACUGACUGUGGGAUAAUACUGAAGUGGCAUCAGGAAGCAAACACCAGACUUCUAAUGGCAGAAAUACAUGGGAUGUAAAUACCAAACUAGCAGAAUAAUAAACGGAGGAUUUCCAGAUUUGGUGAAACACAUGUAAAUUCACUCCUGGCUGCUUUAAACAUACCCAGCGUUUCUCGGAUAACUCUGAACUAUAGAGGAAGAGAGGUCGGGCAACAAUUUGGACAAAUGGCAGGGGAAACUUGUAAUAAAAGUCUGCAGGAGGAGAUGAGAUUGAGUCAAGGGAGUCUGGCGGUUAUAUCUGAUGGUGCUUGACAGAAGCGGGGUACCGGGAGAGCUUAAAAUAGUCUUACAGGACUUGCCUAUCUGUUGGAGAAAAAUCGAAGAAAAUAGUCAUUUUUUCAGUGUAGGGAAAAAAGUAGGGUAUGUGCAGCUGCAAAAUUAAAGAGUAAUUCUCCCAGGUAACACAAGUGCUGUAAGAACUCAACUGGAUCAGCAAAGGUUAUGGAGCCUCAGCCUGCUAUGGCCUGUGAGAUGUUGGAGAUCGAGAAUGUAGGGGGAAAGGUAAGAACAUCAAGAACAAAAACAAUCCAACAAUUUUUAAAAAACUAAUUGUACAAUAUUAAAUCAGUCAAAACAUAGAAAUGUUAUUUGCUGUACAACAUAUUAAAUUUCUUUCAGUAGAUACCGUGAUUAUGGACAGCGACUCAAAUACCAUGGCAAGAUUAAAAGCUAAUGUUGAUCCUAAUAUGAGCAAAAGAUCCGUUAGUAAUCACACAAAGAAGGGAUUUAGUGGUGUACGUAUUAGUAGAACUGAGCAGCAAGCAUAAAGUUUUCAGUUGUAACAUAACUUUAUCUAUGUCCUAUGCUGGUGUUACUGAAGUAAAAGCAGUAUUAAAUUGUUUGUAUUUGAGUGCAUGCCUGAAAGGAAGAAUGUUGAAGUGGUUUAGCCGUAUUUGUAUAUGUACGGACAUGUUUCAAUUAUUGAUGAGUUGUAAAAAAUGCAUUUAAAUGAUUUUUUAGGACAGAUUGACUUGUUAUGUUUUAUAAUGCAUGAAAAUGGUAUAUGAGUGUGAUUUUUCUUUUAAAUAUGUUUGUUACUGAUAUUUAGAGUUGAAUUUGUUUGAUCAGCAAGGGGGUAUUCAUGAUCUAGAAGGUGUAGAAAAUUAAAAAGCCUGAAAAGUACUAAUUUUUGGGGGCUUUUUAGUUGCAACAGAUAUAAAUCUAAUAUUUUAAAUAAAAAAAGAACGUGUUUAUCCAUUACUUUAUGAAAAAUGUGUAAAAAUGACGAUAUUGUAUAAAAAAUUUAAAGCACCAAAUUGAUAUCUUAUUGGAAAAAAAGUUAUAUUAUAAAAUAAAUAUUCAUAUAUGAGACUGGUUAUGCCUUUCCUACAUAUUAAUGAAUAAAUAAAUACAUUUGAAAGUAA